rnacentral:tRNA from 1 species
GCCUGGGUGGCUCAGUUGGUUGAGCAUCUAACUUUGGCUCAGGUUAAGAUCUCACGGUUUGUGGGUUCAAGUCCCAUGUCAGUUU